CCUGGCUCCCAGUACAUCCCAGUUCAGCCCAGUGUGUCCCUAACCCUGCCUUUGUCCCCAGCCCCCUGUGGUUGAGAAGGUGGUUGAUCUUCUUCGUGGCAAACGCCUGGCUGCAUCCCUGGAGAGCUGAGGACUGGUGAUGACACCCAUGCCCUCUCCCUCUCCACUGGCAUGAGGAGAUGAUCAUCCCUGAAAGAACCCCCUGAUUCCCUCAGAGCCCAGGGCCAUUUCCCCUGAAUGAUCAAUAAAUCCCUUCAGCAAAGCAA